rnacentral:lncRNA from 1 species
CUGACUCCUCCAGCCCUGAGCUUUCCUUCCAGCAGCCUGCCUGGACUUGCAGGUCAGCUUCACUGUCUCUGUGCAGGCUUCCUGAGGUGUUUGAAGGAAGAUACAGCAUUCAAUUCAGGUCAAGAAGUCCUGAGAGGCUGGCACGAAGGAUGGUUGCAGGAGCAAGAACUUCUGACUAUGCAAGAAAACUGGCCAAUCAGAGAUCCUUUUCCUCAUAUUUCUCCUUAUUGUAGGACUUCCCUCCUCUCCAAUCUCCUGAGCAAGCACUUCAGGUACCUAAAAUUUCAUUCAUAUAAACAAGAGGAGUUCUGCCUAAUAGGCUAGUGAUAUUCUGAAGAUGACCAGUCAUGCUGUGAAGAAAAGCAAAAUAAACAGAAGAAAUGGAAAAGGUUGAUGAUAUAG